rnacentral:miRNA from 1 species
GGGCCCUGCUCAAUGAGCUUACAUGCUAGAGGGAGUGGCACAAAAGAUAAGGGUAGGGUAGAAAAGUAGGUAGUAUUCUACCAAUCUACUUCUUUAUUACAAUCCUUACCUUUUGUGUCACUAUACCCCACUCCCUCUAGCAUGUAAGCUCAUUGAGCAGGGCCC